rnacentral:lncRNA from 1 species
AGAUCCGCAAGCCUAAAAAACAAACACCCCAUCAACACAAACCCCAUACCCAUCUCAGAAACACAGCAGCAGAGUGGAAAUAAACGAAGACUAGGCUUAUCUUCGGCAACGAGUGAUGGUGGAACAGCCUCUGGUGUAAGGGCGAACGGGGCCUCUAGCUUGGAAGCAGUUGUGGGUGUAGUAGGACCUGCCUGAGCGAGGUGGGCAUGGGAUUCUAUUUGCAGAGAGAGCUCCGUAGGAGAUAUAGUACCGCAUUCUGUGCCAGAACAUGGACCUGCGGUCGAUUACCCCAUCUGGGUCUUCCCCAUCCUCGUCCCCAAACUCGUUGUAGAGAGACAUUGUUGAAGGCCAUUCCAGUGAAUCUGUGAUGAGCUUCAAGCUCGACUCAUCCACCUGGGCAACAACAACAACAUUAGAAAUGUAUACGAAAAAGGCGCAGAGAACGAGAAGCUUGGGAAGCGAUGAACACGCCAUUGAUGGAUGGGAUACAGAAGAG